CUCCCGAAUAUGGUUUCUCCCAUGAGGGUCAAGAGCUCUUCGAAUUUGCUCAAAGCUCUAGACCUUUUCUCUAGAAACCUGUGGGCCUUUGUGCGCGCGCGCCCACGUGGACGCACACACGGGCACGCCCACACCGGUGCGUGGACGCACACACGGGCACGCGCACACACAAUUUGACUUCUUCCCGGGGAUUCCUGAAACACUCAGGCUAGAGGAAUUUUAAGAGCCUACACAACUCACUGAUGGGAGAGACCUCACUCUUCUCCAAGUGAUUUGCUACCAUGUAUUGAAAGAAGUCGGGAUGAUGCCACAUUCCCAAGGGAUACCAGAAGAACUCAAUUUUUCUUCUUUCAUUUUCAGAUUUUCCUUUUCCAUCAGAACUCAUGGUCUUUUCAUACUGCCAUGUCUUCUUGUACUCUAAGGAUGAUAGCAAUUUUCUGAACUCUUAUUCUGGAUCCUGAAGUAGAUGCUUUUCAGAGGUGCUUCCUGAGAUCACCUCCCAAAUAAAUUACUUGUACAUAAAUCCUCACGUCAUAUUCUGCUUCUGCAAGAACUCUAAAACAAGUAAGGAUAUAAAGUAAACCUCAAAAAAUGAAAAUCUAAAAACUACAGGCCAAUAUCACUGAUGAACAUAGAUGUAAAAAUCCUUAACAAAAUACUGGCAAACAGAAUCUAACAGCACAUUAAAAGGAUCAUACACCAUGAUCAAGUGGGGUUUAUCCCAGGAAUGCAAGGAUUCUUCAAUAUACGCAAAUCAAACACUGUGAUACACCAUAUUAACAGAUUGAAGGAGAAAAACCAUAUGAUCAUCUCAACACCCAUUUAUGAUAAAAACCCUCCAGAAAGUAGGCAUAGAGGGAACUUUCCUCAACAUAAUAAAGGCCAUAUAUGGCAAACCCACAGCCAACAUUGUCCUCAAUGGUGAAAAACUGAAAUCAUUUCCAUUAAGAUCAGGAACAAGAUAAGGCUGCCCACUCUCACCAUUAUUAUUCAACAUAGUUUUGGAAGUUUUAGCCACAGCCAUCAGAGAAGAAAAAGAAAUAAAAAGGAAUCCAAAUUGGAAAAGAAAUAAAGCUGUCACUGUUUGCAGAUGACAUGAUACUAUACAAAGAGAAUCCUAAAGAUGCUACCAGAAAACUACUAGAGCUAAUCAAUGAAUUUGGUAAAGUAGCAGGAUACAAAAUUAAUGCACAGAAAUCUCUUGCAUUCCUAUACACUAAUGAUGAAAAAUCUGAAAGUGAAAUUAAAACACUCCCAUUUACCAUUGCAACAAAGAGAAUAAAAUACCUAGGAAUAAACCUACCUAAGGAGACAAAAGACCUGUAUGCAGAAAAUCAUAAGACACUGAUGAAAGAAAUUAAAGAUGAUACAAAUAGAUGGAGAGAUAUACCAUGUUCUUGGAUUGGAA